rnacentral:rRNA from 1 species
AAUCGGACCAAGGAGUCUAGCAUGUGCGCGAGUCAUUGGGAAUAACUAAACCUAAAGGCGCAAUGAAAGUGAAGGUCCGCCUAGCGCGGACCGAGGGAAGAUGGGCGGUCACGGUAACGUGCCGCUCCGCACUCCCGGGGCGUCUCGUUCUCAUUGCGAGAAGAGGCGCACCAAGAGCGUACACGCUGGGACCCGAAAGAUGGUGAACUAUGCCUGGUCAGGACGAAGUCAGGGGAAACCCUGAUGGAGGUCCGUAGCGAUUCUGACGUGCAAAUCGAUCGUCGGAACUGGGUAUAGGGGCGAAAGACUAAUCGAACCAUCUAGUAGCUGGUUCCCUCCGAAGUUUCCCUCAGGAUAGCUGGCGCUCGUCGCCUACGAGUCUCAUCCGGUAAAGCGAAUGAUUAGAGGCAUUGGGGUCGAAACGGCCUCAACCUAUUCUCAAACUUUAAAUGGGUGAGAUCUCCGGCUUGCUCGAACUUAUGAAGCCGCGAGACACGGAUCAGAGUGCCAAGUGGGCCAUUUUUGGUAAGCAGAACUGGCGCUGUGGGAUGAACCAAACGCCGAGUUAAAGCGCCUAAAUCGACGCUUAUGGGAUACCAUGAAAGGCGUUGGUAACUUAAGACAGCAGGACGGUGGCCAUGGAAGUCGGAAUCCG